AAAGUUUAAUUGUUAUGGUCAGAAACAAUAUCAAAACAUCUUUGGUUAAGCACAUUUAAUAUUUUCGGAAAGAACCAGUUAUCGCAUGGUCCAAGACAUAAAACAGCGUCGAUUUGGUACACGACGUUUGAGUUCGUAAACUGCUAGAUAAAAGUUAGUUCAUCACCAAACGGUAUUUGUGGCUGUUCUUUCUGGCCGGAAAUGAAAAUAGCAGCCUGUUUUCUACAACGAGAAAUAUGCCGGAAAAAUUGAUAAGGUCCACGAGUGCAAGAGAACAGCUAGAAAUACCGGUGGGUGAUGAACUAACUUUUAUCUAGUAACGCGACUGCUAUGUCGAGCAUGUUGGAGGGACGAGGUAAUACAAAGAACCAUAAGACUGUGAACAGGACUACAACUUUUAAUUUUUUUUAUAUGUAUUAACUGUUAUUUAUCUGUUUAUAUGUGUCAACUUCUAAUCUUUUCAAUUUUUAUAUCGAGACUUCUUUAUACUGUGAUGGAAAAUGUUCUUACACUGUGAUAUAACAUAUAUAGAUUGUAGCCAAAAAUGUAUACUUUGCUUCUUUAUUCAGUAUAGAUUUAAUAAGGCUGCUUAUGAUGCACAGUUCUAUUGUUAAACUACAGUGAAGCAAGUAAGAUCUUCAUUUUGUAGAAAACUUUUGUUAGCAUAGUUGAUAAUUGUGCAAAAUACCAUGAGAAAACUUCAGCGGGACAAUGGGAUAUCCAUUUUGUUAAAGUCCUCGAUAUCCAUUGCGAUUGCUGGUUAUGAUAGACAAGGUCACUGGAAAACUCCGGUGAAGCAAUAAUAAAGGAGCAUUUUUAUAAUGCUACUCCUGAUAUACACUGCGAUUAGAAAAAUCUAGUUGAACAAGCAGGAUUUUUAUAAUGUGAUCUUCUGUAAGCAUUUUUCGGAAGGACAUUAAAACCAAUCAAAUGAAGUGCAAAAUCUCGUUAUCAUGUCAACUUCUAGCCUUGGAAUUAUUUCGCUUUUUUAACUUAAAGGUUUAACUGUAUCUCCAUGCUUGAUAGAUAGAUAUUGAAUCACAAAAAGAUGACAAAAAAAUAGUUUGAUUAGUAAAGUAUGGAAUAUGAGAAUUAUAAAACACUUUCUAUAAAAAUUUUAUAUGAAAAAUAUUAUUUAGGUUGUUUUUUUUUAAUACAAUAAAUGACACCUACCGAUCACAAACAUCUAAAGUAUUUUUGUUUUCGCCUUCUACUGGGGGAGUAUUAUCAAAAGCUGCCAUAACCUCUUCCACAUUUUCAACAAUACCACUAUCUUCAGCAAAGUGUUGUUCGGGCCAUUGCACUCUAUUUUGCACUAAUUUUUCGUUAUUUUCGGACUCAUGUUCUGACUUAUUUUCUUGUAUAUUACAGUGGUCUUGGCAUAUAUCUCUAUCUUGAAGAAUAUCUGAUCCGUCGAUUUGAUCUCCUUCCAGAAUAACUGAAAUAGGAUACGUCGAGGGUAAUUGAGUAGCUGGUUUAUCGUCUUCUGAAUAUGAAGAAGCAGCCGAUUGACUUCGAGUCAUUCGUAAUGUAUUUUGGCUACUGGAGGGUUGGUAAAGGCUUUGCGUAACGUCGCGUGCUAGAGCUGUUGGCGGUCGGACUUUCACUCGGAAGAACUUGGUGCAUUUUGGUACUUUGUAUCUAUUAUCCGACUAAAAAUAAAAAUAAGUUGAAAUAAUAUAUUUUAAUUAAUCACUUUAUAGCAAAAAUAUCGCCAACAACUGGUUAUCAACGAUGGAUAUAAACACUGUUUAUGCUCCAUGUUCGUUUACACUGAUACUAGCAAUUUUUUUAUAAAUUUUUAAGGAUUAAUUGACCUUUUUUAUAUGAUUAUGCAGUUUUUGAAUAUUCUGGAGUGUCCUUAAGUUUUACUAAAUGUUCUGGAACUGUUCUGAGGAACGAGCAGGGGAAACAUCGAUAGAUAAUUUUGAAAAACCUUCAAAAUAAUAAUAAGAAACUUAAUGAACCUUAACUUUUGUUUAAUAAGUAGUCGAAAACCCUGUAUGUAAUAGAAAUAUAUCAAAAGUGGAUCCAGAUAAUUUUAUAAGAAAUUUUAAUCAUCAAAUUUUUUUCUUGAGAAUUUUUUCAGAUCUAUUAUGUUUUUUUGAAGUCAUUAUGGUUAUCAAUUAUUUCCAACCCGUUAAAACAUUUUUCAAAUAUAAAUCCUUUUUAGACGUUAAUUUGAAUUAUAAUUUUAUUAGACUAUAGAUUAAAUUUAAAAUAGUUAACAAGACCCAUGUAGGAAUUGUAAAAAUCUGGAACAAUGUUGAUGCAAAUAAAUUCAAAAAAUAUUUCGUUGGUUAUAUUGUAUCACUAGGGUAAGAGAAGACCAAUAAUUUGGGCAAACAAGGGGCCCAUUUCAUCGCCACCUGUAUCGUUCUAUUUGCCAGGAGGUUACUAACAAACAUAUUCCUGAAGCAGUUCCAAAAAAUGAUAUCUAUUGAUGCUCUGGAACUCUAAGAAGAGCUGUAGCAUAGAAGCUUUAAGGGGCACACGAUAGAUAUUUUUAGUGUGCGAUGUAAGUAUAAAACUGCAAGAGUUUCAAUCAAAUCUAUUGUAUUACUAUCAAAUAGUGACAGAUAUUAUUUUAAAUAAUAGAUUAAAGAGACAAAAAUAAAAGGAAAAAAA